AUGGGAUUUUUGCUUCUGUUCAUUUUCGCUGUAGCAGCUUUGGAAGGUAUUUUUCCUCCUCUGAAUAACGGGCAGUGUCUGGUCCAGGUGCAGCUGGUGGAGUCCGGAGGGGAUGUGAAAAAGCCCGGAGACUCUCUCCGCCUCUCCUGCAAAGCCUCCGGGUUCACCUUCAGCAGCUGGGAUAUGAACUGGGUCCGGCAGGCUCCCGGCAAGGGGCUAGAAUGGGUCGCUUAUAUAAACACGGGUGGGAGUACUAUAUACUACCUUGAUUCCGUCAAAGGCCGAUUCACCAUCUCCCGGGACAAUCCCAAGAGUGAGCUGUAUCUGCAAAUGACCGGCCUGAAGCCCGAGGACACCGCCCGCUAUUACUGUGCGAGACACAGUGACACGAAACCGGUUUGUGAUCAUACAAAAACCCGGGCUGCGGAAUCGCGCUUCUCCCGGCAGCCGCGCGGGGGCAGCAGUGACACACACACCGCUCCGGGCUGGGACAGGAGACCCGGCACCCGGGUGAAUGUAACACAAAACUCACAGGACAGCGUAUGUCAGUGUAAACGGGACAAGCGCAUUGGGGUUCGCAUCAGACCCAACGGAUGGAGCGAAUUUCCCCUAGGGCCAAAUCCUCCGCUGGUGUAA